UAACAAGGUUUCCAUAGGAACAAGUCCUUCCGCUGGUAACACUUGCCGAAGCCUUAGCAGCCUGAAAGGGUGCCCCUCGACGACUUGAAAUAAAAUUAGAGGGUCUCAAAUGCUAGUCCACUGUAUAUAGGGUGGGCAACACUGUCAAAUUGCGGGGAACCCCUAAAGACCUUGACACCAAGCGUCUGCUGGAAACAGCGGCGUGGCCGAGCUAAUAGCCCUGGGUAUGGUAAUAGUUCAAGGUAUGAGCCUGAGUGAUCGGGUGAAAUGGGCGAUCUGCAGCCAAGUCCUAAGGUCUCUCUGUAGGCUACGGAUGCUGUUCACAGGCCAAAUGGCAGUGGGUGGGAGUUAUCAUCUCCUGCUUAAGAUAUGGUCGGUCCCCUCGUGAAAGCUUGGGGGUAAGUUUACCGGAGUGAGAAAUAAUGAGCAAUUUUACCAGGUGUUCUAUAAUAACUGUAAGAAUAUCUGCGCUUGUUUGUUUGCGGUUCUCAGAAAUUCUGAGUACUUUUACGUUCCGUAGGUGAACCUGCGGAAGGAUCAUUACCGAGUUAGGGUCCUAACCUGGCCCAACCUCCAACCCCUUGUGUACCUCGCAAGUUAAACUGUUGCUUCGGCAGGCUUCUGUGCCUGCCGAAGCCCAAGUUCAAAAUCUUUUUAAUGGUGUCGUCUGAGUUAAAUGUUAAAUCAUUAAAACUUUCAACAACGGAUCUCUUGGUUCCUGCAUCGAUGAAGAACGCAGCGAAAUGCGAUAAGUAAUGUGAAUUGCAGAAUUCAGUGAAUCAUCGAAUCUUUGAACGCACAUUGCGCCCCUGGGCAUUCCUAGGGGCAUGCCUGUUCGAGCGUCAUUGUAAAAAUCUCAAGCUCAGCUUGGUGUUGGGUGUUUGCCCCUCCCCCUUACAAGGGGGGAAGGGCACGUCUGAAAAUCAGUGGCGGUGCCACGAUGGCCUCAAGCGUAGUAGACUCUCUCUCGCUUUGGAUGGUUCAUUGUGCGGUUCACCUGUCUAACCUAAAAUCUUAGAAAGGUUUGACCUCGGAUCAGUA
rnacentral:rRNA from 1 species